rnacentral:rRNA from 1 species
UACAGGGGGGGGCAAGCGUUGUUCGGAAUUACUGGGCGUAAAGGGCGCGUAGGCGGCCAACUAAGUCACACGUGAAAUCCCCAGGCUUAACCUGGGAACUGCGUGUGAUACUGGAUGGCUUGAAUUCGGGAGAGGGAUGCGGAAUUCCAGGUGUAGCGGUGAAAUGCGUAGAUAUCUGGAGGAACACCGGUGGCGAAGGCGGCAUCCUGGACCGACAUUGACGCUGAGGCGCGAAAGCUAGGGGAGCAAACGGG